rnacentral:rRNA from 1 species
AUGGGCGCAAGCCUGAUGCAGCCAUGCCGCGUGUGUGAAGAAGGCCUUCGGGUUGUAAAGCACUUUCAGUCGUGAGGAAGGUGGUGUUGUUAAUAGCUGUAUCAUUUGACGUUAGCGACAGAAGAAGCACCGGCUAACUCCGUGCCAGCAGCCGCGGUAAUACGGAGGGUGCGAGCGUUAAUCGGAAUUACUGGGCGUAAAGCGCAUGCAGGUGGUUUGUUAAGUCAGAUGUGAAAGCCCGGGGCUCAACCUCGGAAUAGCAUUUGAAACUGGCAGACUAGAGUACUGUAGAGGGGGGUAGAAUUUCAGGUGUAGCGGUGAAAUGCGUAGAGAUCUGAAGGAAUACCGGUGGCGAAGGCGGCCCCCUGGACAGAUACUGACACUCAGAUGCGAAAGCGUGGGGAGCAAACAGGAUUAGAUACCCUGGUAGUCCACGCCGUAAACGAUGUCUACUUGGAGGUUGUGGCCUUGAGCCGUGGCUUUCGGAGCUAACGCGUUAAGUAGACCGCCUGGG